UCGGCUUAGAGUUUGAUCAUGGCUCAGAUUGAACGCUAGCGGGAUGCUUUACACAUGCAAGUCGAACGGCAAGAGAGCUUGCUCUCUGCGAGUGGCGGACGGGUGAGUAAUAUAUCGGAACGUGCCCAGUAGCGGGGGAUAACUACUCGAAAGAGUGGCUAAUACCGCAUACGCCCUACGGGGGAAAGGGGUUCGUCUCACUAUUGGAGCGGCCGAUAUCGGAUUAGCUAGUUGGUGGGGUAAAGGCUCACCAAGGCAACGAUCCGUAGCUGGUUUGAGAGGACGACCAGCCACACUGGGACUGAGACACGGCCCAGACUCCUACGGGAGGCAGCAGUGGGGAAUUUUGGACAAUGGGGGAAACCCUGAUCCAGCCAUCCCGCGUGUAUGAUGAAGGCCUUCGGGUUGUAAAGUACUUUUGGCAGAGAAGAAAAGGUACCUUAAUAGGUACUGCUGACGGUAUCUGCAGAAUAAGCACCGGCUAACUACGUGCCAGCAGCCGCGGUAAUACGUAGGGUGCAAGCGUUAAUCGGAAUUACUGGGCGUAAAGCGUGUGUAGGCGGUUCGGAAGGAAAGAUGUGAAAUCCCAGGGCUCAACCUUGGAACUGCAUUUUUAACUGCCGAGCUAGAGUAUGUCAGAGGGGGGUAGAAUUCCACGUGUAGCAGUGAAAUGCGUAGAUAUGUGGAGGAAUACCGAUG
rnacentral:rRNA from 1 species